rnacentral:lncRNA from 1 species
CAAAGUGCUGGGAUUACAGGCAUGAGCCACCGUGUCCACCCCAUACAUUUUAUUUAUUUAGACAUACUGUCUCAUUUUUACUUACAUAACUUUACCUGUGCUCUUUAUUUCUUCAUGUGGAUUUGAAUUACUCUCUUGUCUUCAUUUCAGCUGGAAGGACUCUGUUUAGUGUUCUGAUGGGGCUAGUCUGACAGCAAUGAAUUCUCUCAAAUGUUGUCUAUCUGGGAAUGCUUUAAUGUCUCCAUUUUUUGAAGGACACCACUGCUAGAUAUAAAAUUCUUGGCUGACAUUUAUUUUUCCUUUCAGAACUUUGAAUAUGUCAUCCCACUGCCUUUUGGCCUCCAUGGAUUCUUCCUUUCAGCUUUAUUGUGGUAUAACUAACAAACAGCAUUGUUUAUAUUUUAAAUAUACAGUUUGUUGAUUUGAUACACAUAUGCAUUGUGAAAUGAUUACCACAAUCAAGUCCAUUAAGACAUUCAUCACAUUAUGGUUACUUUUUUGAAAUGAGAAUUCUUAAGAUCUGCUCUCUUAGCAAAUUUCAAGUAUACAAUACAGUAUAAUUAACUACAGUCACCAUGCUAUACAUUAGAUGCUUAGAACUUAAACUGAAAGUUUGUAGUUGUUAAUCUUACCAAUGAUCCUUUAUACAUGAUGAUUUAUUUCUUGCUUAUCGCUCUCAUGAUUUUUCUUUGCCUUUGGCUUUUGAUUAAUUUAUUAAGAUGUGCGUUUAUGCUACUUGGAGUUUAUUGAACUUCUUGCAUAUUUUGAUUAGUGUUUUUCAUAAAAUUGGAGAAGUUUUUGGCUAUUAUAACUUCACAUAUUCUUGUAUCUCCUUUCUCUCACUCAUCUCCUUCUGGGACUCUCUUUAUGCAUACAUUGGUAUUGCUUGAUAGGGUUCCAUAGUUCUCUGAGGCUCUUUCCUUUUGUUUUUUUUUAACUUACUAUUCAUCAGGCUAGAUAAUCUCAGUUGACCAAUCUACAAAUUCACUGAAUUUUUUGUCUGCUGAAAUCUGCUGUUCAGCCCUGUUGUGGGUUGAAUCAUGUUCUCCAAAAUGAUAUGUUCAAGGCUCUCUUACUUAGUCCCUAUAAAUGUGGCUUUAUUUGGAAAUACGGUAUUUGCAGAUGUAAUCAAUUAAGAUGAGGUCAUCUUGUAUUAGGGUGGGCCCUAAUCCAGUUACUGUUUCUCUUAUAAGAGCAGGGAAAUUUGAACACAGGCACAGAGGAAAGAAGGUCAUGUGAUGACACAGGCAGAGAUUGGAGUGGUGCAGCUGCAAGCCAAGGAAAGCCAAGGAUUUCCAGCAACCACCUGAAGCUAGAAAGAAGCAAAGAAAGAUAAUUCCCUAGAGCCUUCAAAUAGAGCACAGCCCAACUGACACUUUAACUUUGGACUUCUAUCCUCCAGCAAUAAAUAUUAGAUCACUUAGGAAUGAUAGAAAUAUCUGGUGAUGGAAUUUCAAGAAUGGAACCUCUGGCCGGGCGUGGUGGAGACAGAGUCUCACUCUGCACCGUGCCGGCCAGAUUUUGGUAUUUCUUAUGGGAAACCUGAGUUCCUGCAUUAGAGUUCUGUGGCCUACUGGACAAAGGCUGGGAGUUGCCCCUUACAGGGCUGGGCAGAAGCAGAGACGAUUCAUUCCUGGUCCCACAGAGAUGGCAGGCUUCCAGGACCUGUAUGACACCCCUGGGGACAGGCUGGAUGUCUUCAUAAAACAUCCUUCCAGUCUGCCUUCGUAAAACAGCCUCCAGCCCCAGGGAGACUGGAAGGAUGAAGUGAAGGAUGCCGGGCAUUGAACUGAGCAGUUCUUGAGGGAUCAGUUCUUCUAUAAUGAGCUGAUUCUGGACCAGGAAGUCAGGGUGCUGAAGAUGGCAAAGGUGAGCACUCAGGAACCCCCGGGGUUCAAAUCCCAGCUCUGCCCUGUGGGACUGUGGGGCUGUGGGAUAGGUAAGGGAUGAGUUAUUUUGUCUCUCUGAGCAUCGGUCUCUUCCUCUCUAAAACCGGUUUCUAAUGAACAAUAAAUGGGAUAAAGCAUA